rnacentral:rRNA from 1 species
UUGACCUCGGAUCAGGUAGGGAUACCCGCUGAACUUAAGCAUAUCAAUAAGCGGAGGAAAAGAAACCAACAGGGAUUUCCCUAGUAACGGCGAGUGAAGCGGCAACAGCUCAAAUUUGAAAUCUGGCUCUUUCAGAGUCCCAGUUGUAAUUUGCAGAGGGCGCUUUGGCUUUGGCAGCGGUCCAAGUUCCUUGGAACAGGACGUCACAGAGGGUGAGAAUCCCCUACGUGGUCGCUAGCUAUUGCCGGGUAAAACCCCUUCGACGAAUCAAGUUGUUU